CGCCUACGGGCGGCAGCAGUGGGGAAUAUUGGACAAUGGGCGAAAGCCUGAUCCAGCCAUGCCGCGUGAGUGAUGAAGGCCUUAGGGUUGUAAAGCUCUUUCAGUGGGGAAGAUAAUGACGGUACCCACAGAAGAAGCCCCGGCUAACUUCGUGCCAGCAGCCGCGGUAAUACGAAGGGGGCUAGCGUUGUUCGGAUUUACUGGGCGUAAAGCGCACGUAGGCGGCUCGUUAAGCCGGGGGUGAAAUCCUGGGGCUCAACUCCAGAACUGCCUUCGAUACUGGCGAUCUUGAGUCCGGAAGAGGUGAGUGGAACUCCUAGUGUAGAGGUGGAAUUCGUAGAUAUUAGGAAGAACACCAGUGGCGAAGGCGGCUCACUGGUCCGGUACUGACGCUGAGGUGCGAAAGCGUGGGGAGCAAACAGGAUUAGAUACCCUAGUAGUCG
rnacentral:rRNA from 1 species